rnacentral:rRNA from 1 species
AUUGAACGCUGGCGGCAGGCCUAACACAUGCAAGUAGAACGAGUGGCGGACGGGUGAGUAAUGUCUGGGAAACUGCCUGAUGGAGGGGGAUAACUACUGGAAACGGUAGCUAAUAACGCAUACCAUAGGGUGUGACCAGAUGGGAUUAGCUAGUAGGUGGGGUAAAGGCUCACCUAGGCGAUGAUCCCUAGCUGGUCUGAGAGGAUGACCAGCCACACGGGAACGUAGCCACGGUCCAGACUCCUACGGGAGGCAGCAGUGGGUAAUAUUGCACAAUGGGCGCAAGCCUGAUGCAGCCAUGCCGCGUGUAUGAAGAAGGCCUUCGGGUUAUAAAGGACUUUCAGCGGGGAGGCGUUACCUGCAGAAGAAGCACCGGCUAACUCCGUGCCAGCAGCCGCGGUAAUAC